rnacentral:lncRNA from 1 species
CUGCGUGUACAUAGGAAGAAGGGAGAAAAUUCACAUGUACAUUGUGUUAACAUUAUCGUGAGUUCAUGAAGUCGUAGAUGCUUAGUUAUUGAGAUAGAAAACCUACAAAAAGAGAAAAUUGUGUACACAAUCCCUUUGAUGUAUAACAUAAAAUUAGGUGUACACAUAUACAGUUUGAAAGUAAUGUACACACGAACUUUUUAUUUUGAUUUUUUCAUUAAU